rnacentral:rRNA from 1 species
AACGAACGCUGGCGGCAGGCUUAACACAUGCAAGUCGAGCGCCCCGCAAGGGGAGCGGCAGACGGGUGAGUAACGCGUGGGAACGUACCCUUUGCUACGGAAUAGCUCCGGGAAACUGGAAUUAAUACCGUAUGAGCCCUACGGGGGAAAGAUUUAUCGGCAAAGGAUCGGCCCGCGUUGGAUUAGCUAGUUGGUGGGGUAAUGGCCUACCAAGGCGACGAUCCAUAGCUGGUCUGAGAGGAUGAUCAGCCACAUUGGGACUGAGACACGGCCCAAACUCCUACGGGAGGCAGCAGUGGGGAAUAUUGGACAAUGGGCGCAAGCCUGAUCCAGCCAUGCCGCGUGAGUGAUGAAGGCCUUAGGGUUGUAAAGCUCUUUCACCGGAGAAGAUGAUGACGGUAUCCGGAGAAGAAGCCCCGGCUAACUUCGUGCCAGCAGCCGCCGUAACAC